ACAGUACCAGAGAACUGGGUUCAAUCCUGACCUCAAGUACUGCCUGUAUGGAGCUUGCAUAUUCUCCCUGUGA